rnacentral:rRNA from 1 species
GACGGAAGGUGCAAGCGUUGCUCGGAAUCACUGGGCGUAAAGAGCUCGUAGGUGGUUUGUCGCGUUGUUCGUGAAAACUCACAACUCAAUUGUGGGCGUGCGGGCGAUACGGGCAUCACUGGAGUUCGGCAGGGGAGACUGGAAUCCCUGGUGUAGCGGUGAAAUGCGCAGAUAUCAGGAGGAACACCGGUGGCGAAGGCGGGUCUCUGGGCCGAUACUGACGCUGAGGAGCGAAAGCGUGGGGAGCGAACAGG